rnacentral:rRNA from 1 species
CACUCCUGCGGGAGGCAGCAGUGGGGAAUUUUGGACAAUGGGCGAAAGCCUGAUCCAGCAAUGCCGCGUGAGUGAAGAAGGCCUUCGGGUUGUAAAGCUCUUUUGUCAGGGAAGAAACGGUGAAAGCUAAUAUCUUUUGCUAAUGACGGUACCUGAAGAAUAAGCACCGGCUAACUACGUGCCAGCAGCCGCGGUAAUACGUAGGGUGCAAGCGUUAAUCGGAAUUACUGGGCGUAAAGCGUGCGCAGGCGGUUUUGUAAGUCUGAUGUGAAAUCCCCGGGCUCAACCUGGGAAUUGCAUUGGAGACUGCAAGGCUAGAAUCUGGCAGAGGGGGGUAGAAUUCCACGUGUAGCAGUGAAAUGCGUAGAUAUGUGGAGGAACACCGAUGGCGAAGGCAGCCCCCUGGGUCAAGAUUGACGCUCAUGCACGAAAGCGUGGGGAGCAAACAGGAUUAGAAACCCGGGUAGUCCCAUGAU